GUACACACCGCCCGUCACACCAUGGAGUCGAUAACGCCCGAAGUCAGUGACCCAACCGAGAGGAGGGAGCUGCCGAAGGCGGGAUGGAUAACUGGGGUGAAGUCGUAACAAGGUAUC
rnacentral:rRNA from 1 species